UACAUUUAUUAUACUUAUACAUUUCUUAUUUUAAUGUGUUUCAGAAAUUUUCUCUGAAAUAAUGCUGAUUGAAAUGAAAAGUGUCAGCGAUAUUUCUAGAAUGAAGAGUGAGUCUGGUGGGCACUCAGAAAGCUUUAUAGGAAAGGAAACUGCAAGAGGAAGAGCCACACUUGGAACUCAGAAGAGAGCAGUGGUCCUGGACUGGAAUGGACAAAGAAGGCCUCUUGGAGGAGGAACAUGGGAGAAUUUCUGAAAAGUGGAGAGCAGCCUGCCACAAAAGUGGACCUGGAAAAAGGCUUUCCCCCUUAUGUGGUCCCAGCAAAGUAAGUAAUCCUUUUAUAAAUAGGGA
rnacentral:lncRNA from 1 species